rnacentral:rRNA from 1 species
AGAGUUUGAUCCUGGCUCAGGACGAACGCUGGCGGCGUGCCUAAUACACGCAAGUCGAACGGUCUUUUCUAUGGAAGCUUGCUUCCACUGAGAAGAUAGUGGCGGACGGGUGAGUAACACGUGGGUAACCUGCCCAUAAGAGGGGGAUAACAUCCGGAAACGGGUGCUAAUACCGCAUAGUUUUCUUGAUCGCAUGAUUGAGAAAGGAAAGACGGCCUUUGUGCUGUCGCUUAUGGAUGGACCCGCGGCGUAUUAGUUAGUUGGUGAGGUAAUGGCUCACCAAGACGAUGAUACGUAGCCGACCUGAGAGGGUGAUCGGCCACAUUGGGACUGAGACACGGCCCAAACUCCUACGGGAGGCAGCAGUAGGGAAUCUUCCGCAAUGGACGAAAGUCUGACGGAGCAACGCCGCGUGAGUGAAGAAGGUUUUCGGAUCGUAAAACUCUGUUGUCAGAGAAGAACAAGUCGGAGAGUAACUGCUCCGGCCUUGACGGUAUCUGACCAGAAAGCCACGGCUAACUACGUGCCAGCAGCCGCGGUAAUACGUAGGUGGCAAGCGUUGUCCGGAUUUAUUGGGCGUAAAGCGAGCGCAGGCGGUUCCUUAAGUCUGAUGUGAAAGCCCACGGCUCAACCGUGGAAGGUCAUUGGAAACUGGGGAACUUGAGUGCAGAAGAGGAGAGUGGAAUUCCAUGUGUAGCGGUGAAAUGCGUAGAUAUAUGGANGAACACCAGUGGCGAAGGCGACUCUCUGGUCUGUAACUGACGCUGAGGCUCGAAAGCGUGGGGAGCAAACAGGAUUAGAUACCCUGGUAGUCCACGCCGNAAACGAUGANUGCUAAGUGUUGGNANGGUUUCCACCCNUUCAGUGCUGCANCUAACGCAUUAAGCACUCCGCCNGGGGAGUA